rnacentral:rRNA from 1 species
GACGAACGCUGGCGGCGUGCUUAACACAUGCAAGUCGAACGGAAAGGCCCUGCUUUUGUGGGGUGCUCGAGUGGCGAACGGGUGAGUAACACGUGAGUAACCUGCCCUUGACUUUGGGAUAACUUCAGGAAACUGGGGCUAAUACCGGAUAGGAGCUCCUGCUGCAUGGUGGGGGUUGGAUAGUUUCGGCGGUUGGGGAUGUACUCGCGGCUUAUCAGCUUGUUGGUUGGGUAGUGGAUUACCAAGGCUUUGACGGGUAGCCGGCCUGAGAGGGUGACCGGCCACAUUGGGACUGAGAUACGGCCCAGACUCCUACGGGAGGCAGCAGUGGGGAAUAGUGCACAAUGGGCGGAAGCCUGAUGCAGCAACGCCGCGUGCGGGAUGACGGCCUUCGGGUUGUAAACCGCUUUCGCCUGUGACGAAGCGUGAGUGACGGUAAUGGGUAAAGAAGCACCGGCUAACUACGUG